rnacentral:tRNA from 7 species
GCCCAAGUAGGGUAGUUUGGAUAUCCUGGAGGCCUGCGGAGCCUCCGACCCGGGUUCAAAUCCCGGCUUGGGCG